UGGGGAAUUUUGGACAAUGGGGGCAACCCUGAUCCAGCCAUUCCGCGUGAGUGAAGAAGGCCUUCGGGUCGUAAAGCUCUUUCGGCAGGAACGAAACGGCGAGCUCUAACAUAGCUUGCUAAUGACGGUACCUGAAGAAGAAGCACCGGCUAACUACGUGCCAGCAGCCGCGGUAAUACGUAGGGUGCGAGCGUUAAUCGGAAUUACUGGGCGUAAAGCGUGCGCAGGCGGUUAUGUAAGACAGAUGUGAAAUCCCCGGGCUCAACCUGGGAACUGCGUUUGUGACUGCAUAACUAGAGUACGGCAGAGGGAGGUGGAAUUCCGCGUGUAGCAGUGAAAUGCGUAGAUAUGCGGAGGAACACCGAUGGCGAAGGCAAUCCCCUGGACCUGUACUGACGCUCAUGCACGAAAGCGUGGGGAGCAAACA
rnacentral:rRNA from 1 species